UACGAAGGUCCCGAGCGUUAUUCGGAAUCACUGGGCGUAAAGGGAGCGUAGGCGGCGUGGAAAGUCAGAUGUGAAAUCCCGGGGCUCAACCCCGGAACUGCAUCCGAUACUACCAUGCUAGAGUAUUGGAGGGGUAACUGGAAUUCUCGGUGUAGCAGUGAAAUGCGUAGAUAUCGAGAGGAACACUCGUGGCGAAAGCGAGUUACUGGACAAUUACUGACGCUGAGGCUCGAAGGCUAGGGGAGCAAAAGGG
rnacentral:rRNA from 1 species